CAAUAGCGUAUAUUUAAGUUGCUGCAGUUAAAAAGCUCGUAGUUGGAUUUCGGGUGGGAAUGGCCGGUCCGCCGUUUCGGUGUGCACUUGCUACGCCCACCUUGCUGCCGGGGACGUGCUCUUGAGUUCACGCUCGGGACACGGAGUCGGCGAGGUUACUUUGAGUAAAUUAGAGUGUUCAAAGCAAGCCUACGCUCUGAAUACAUUAGCAUGGAAUAACACGAUAGGACUCUGGCCUAUCUUGUUGGUCUGUAGGACCGGAGUAAUGAUUAAGAGGGACAGUCGGGGGCAUUCGUAUUUCAUUGUCAGAGGUGAAAUUCUUGGAUUUAUGAAAGACGAACUACUGCGAAAGCAUUUGCCAAGGAUGUUUUCAUUAA
rnacentral:rRNA from 1 species